UACGUAGGGGGCAAGCGUUGUUCGGAAUUACUGGGCGUAAAGGGCGCGUAGGCGGCCUGUUAAGUCGAACGUGAAAUCCCCGGGCUCAACCCGGGAACUGCGUCCGAAACUGGCAGGCUCGAAUUCGGGAGAGGGAUGCGGAAUUCCAGGUGUAGCGGUGAAAUGCGUAGAUAUCUGGAGGAACAUCGGUGGCGAAGGCGGCAUCCUGGACCGAUAUUGACGCUGAGGCGCGAAAGCCAGGGGAGCAAACGGG
rnacentral:rRNA from 1 species